rnacentral:rRNA from 1 species
UACGUAGGGUGCGAGCGUUAAUCGGAAUUACUGGGCGUAAAGGGAGCGCAGGCGGUUAUAUAAGACAGAUGUGAAAUCCCCGGGCUCAACCUGGGAACUGCGUUUGUGACUGUAUGACUAGAGUACGGUAGAGAGGGGUGGAAUUCCUGGUGUAGCAGUGAAAUGCGUAGAUAUCAGGAGGAACAUCGAUGGCGAAGGCAGCCCCUUGGACCUGUACUGACGCUCAUGCACGAAAGCGUGGGGAGCAAACAGG